CAAGGAGGGGUGGGAGCUCCUGGACCUGCCUGGUGGCCCAGGGAGUGAAUCAGCAGCGCCCGGGGCAGAUGCCAGGCCGAGCCGUGCGCAGGCUGCGAGGGGCGGAGGGUUUGCACUCGCUCUCGCCCGGCCAAGGAUAAAUAGGAGGCGGGUGUUGAGCUCUGCCAGAGCUGCUCUUCCCAACCACCCAACGCUCCCCACACGCCGGCACCCAGCCCAGGCAGACAUGGACUCCCAGGAUUGCCCUUGCGCCACGGGCGGCACCUGCACCUGCGGGGACAACUGCAAAUG